rnacentral:rRNA from 1 species
CAUGUCCUUUUGAUUAUUAUUUAAGGUCUAAUCUGCUCAAUGAAGUAUUUAAAUUGCCGCAGUAUUCUAACUGUGCAAAGGUAGCAUAAUAAUUAGGGUUUUAAUUGAAUCCUGGAAUGAAUGAUUGAACAAGAAAAUUGCUGUCUCUUUUUGUAUUAUUGAAUUUAAUUUUUAAGUUAAAAAGCUUAAAUAAUAUUUUUAGACGAGAAGACCCUAUAGAGUUUGAUUACAAUUAAUUUUAUUAUUAUUUUGAAAUAAUUUAAUAUAAGAUUUAUUUUAAUUUGGUUGGGGUGACUAAAAAAUAUAAAUAACUUUUUUAUAAAUUUGUUAAUUUUAAUUAAUUUGUAAACCUAAAUUUUUUAAGUUUAAUAUAAAUUACCUUAGGGAUAACAGCGUUAUUUUUAUUUGAAGUUCUUAUUUAAAUUAAAGAUUGCGACCUCGAUGUUGGAUUAAAAUUUACUUUUGGUGCAGAAGCUUGAAAGUUAAGUCUGUUCGACUUUUAAAAUUUUACAUGAUCUGAGU